CUAUCAUCUUAUCUUUCAUGGAU
rnacentral:siRNA from 1 species